UAGGGGGCCACUGUCUGGCAGGGGCACUGAUGCAGGCAGUUGAACUUCUAUCAGUUUCUAAACCAUACCGUCUUUGGUUCCAUUCUCGUGUGGAUAGCUAAGUGAGGUCUGUGCUCUAGCUUGCUUGUUUUUUUUCUUUCACCGCUGUGCACACACACACACACAAUGAUAUUUGGCUAAAAGAUUUCAGUGGUAACGGGGCAUGCUUAGUCAAUGCAAUGAUGCAAAUGAGUGUCAUUCCAGAAGUUCUUAAAAGCUGCAAAACACUCACUAUCAGGGUAGAUGGCUAUGCUAACGAGCUAUCUAGCUGGUAGCUUUAGCGUUCAUCACAGGUUUGUUUAAUGGUGCACUCGAGUUAAUUCUAGUGAUAUGGCACAUAGGAAACAAGGUAAGUCCAUUUCGCUUCUAACGCCAGACGUAACGUUAAGCUAACAUUAGCUAGUUUUACAAGUUUGUACUAGCUAGCUAUCCUGCUAGCAAGGCAGCUACUCACCUCGCUCAUCUCACUGUCUGUCAAACGCAAGUGCCAUCCUGCCCUGUCAAUCCCGCGUGUUUUUGUAAUACAUUCAUAGAUGUAUACAUCAUUGGAUAUAUUGUAUUCCUUUUGUUGUAAGCUUCUGAUUUUAAUCAAGUGUUUAUGCUUACUGUCCGUUUUACUUUAAUCUAUCAGCUGCCGUUGUGAUGAUUUCCCCCCCCCCCAUUUGUCCAUUAACUACAUUUUUAUUUGACAUGUACUUGUACUUGUACUUGUACUUGACAUGGACAGCAAAGUGAAAUAAAAGUUAAAAGAUGCUACACAUAAGACUAUAUAUUUUUUUUAACAAAAGAAGCCGCUCCUGAAGAAAGAAAUGAAUAGGCAAAUAUCUUAGCCAAUCACAACAGUGGCAGUUAAGUAAUGUUGUGAAACACUAUCAUUCCACUAUUAGCGCCUGGUAUAAUAUACAUUUUCAGACAUUACUAUGCAACAAAAAUAUAUGUGUAGCACCUUUAAGAAUGUUAGUUAACUUUGUUUCAGUAUUCCAGUCUAAGGUUCUUCAGAGGCUGUACCUUACCUCCCAGGCCUGCGAAAGAAUCCAGCGCUCCAUCGCCUGAGACCUCUGAAACAAAAAGUAGGCCUAGAGGAGGAGGCCACUAUCACUGGUAAGUAGAGUUUCAUAUUACAAUAUACAAGUUAUUCUCAAGUUAUUCUUCUCUGUCAUUCGCAGGAGAAAGAGACGGAGAUAUUGAGGACGAAGGUCAGGGUGCCUUGUAAGGAUCCGGCGGAGAGAGAGGAAUAACACCAUCCCCAGCCAGGCUGAGUAUACACAGUCCUAGCUCCCCCUGCAGAUUACAAGAGAGGGAUCUGUCACGCCUUCAGCCAGCAUGCAUAAAUACUGUGGACUUGUUGAGAACACUCAUGAGUCCAACAAAGAUGAAGAGGUAGAAGGAGACAAUGGGGGAAGAAGGAGAAAUGGGAACUAUAGCUCCAGGAGGUGGGACAGUGGUGGCCCGGGUGGACAGAGCGGGCCAGGUUACAGAAUCCAACCCUGGGGACCCCCAUGGAGGAAGGAGUCUGGCUCAACAAGAAGAAGAAGAGGAGGAAGCUGAAGAAGAAACAUCAUAAACAGAAGCUCUUGUAUCUAGGUCUGGUGCCCCGUGCUGCAGCUCAAGUUCACCUACGAGAGCGAGGAGGAUGGGAGGGGGGGAGGAAGAGAUGAGGCAGAGAAGAGCAGCUGAAGUGAUAAUCUUCCUCAGGACCACACAAGAUCUACGUGUCUGAUUGUGAGUGUGACAUACCAAGGCUGCUAAUCAACACAGAUACGGUCACAUAUAGCCUAGGCUGUGUUUCAGUCUUCCUAAGAGCUGACCAAAAGUGCUGAAGCAUAGUUCAUUUUAUAGCUUUCGGAUUGGCAGAAAAUAAAUAAUUUGAACAGCACUGUGCAGAGCACACGCAAAUGAAAGUGAAAGCACAGCUCAUUAAUCACUAGCCUAUAACAACUUGAGGACCUUGAGAGAUUUAGGAAUCGAGGUGUAGAGGUGCAUUGAGGUGUUUGGGUUUACUUCAUCAUGCUCAAAUGUAAUGGACAGGCUCAGUCAUCUGGUCUGUCAUAAUCCCUCCAUGACUUGCCUCUGGAGGACUAGACAGACAGUCAGUCCAAAGAAUCCCAUUGGUUCCAGGGAUUAAGGUUUCUCUGUUGGUGAAUUACUGCAGAAGGCUAAGAAGGAAGACCUCUGGAAAUGUCCACAGUAGUUCAGUUAAAGGGGCUACAUGCUCCUGUUCCUUAUAUGCUCCUCAGUCUAGAGAUAGACCAGGGGAUUAAACACAGGCCCGUUCAGCAACGGAGCUUAUAAUGGUUGGUGGAGUAAUAGUAUACUUAAUCCACUACCAAGCAGGUUCAUCUGGUAGUGGAGGGUCUUCUGACCAGCCUGUACAAUGGAACAUUCCUCCCCUGCUGUUUUGGCCCAGCUCCACAGCCUCUAGUCCCUGGUGCAGCAACAGGACACAGCAAGGAUGGCAAAGAAUCUGCAGGAGCUCCAGAACAGCUCUACCAUGUCUACUGCGUCUCCUGCCAUUCAUUCACCUGGAGUUUCACCCAAGAGCUGCCAGGAGACCACACUUUGUACAGGUCUAGGAAUUGUGAACGAGAUGACCUCAGGUGAUGCCACUGCAGUUGUGUCCCUGUUUCAGUACUGGAUCACAGACAAUCCCGCCCAUGCCGAGAGAAUGGAAAACAGGCCAACCUACAACAUAACCUUCCUAGUCGAGCCAACCAACAACACAGCCUUAGACUUUCCUAGAUGUUCAGGGUUUUAAACAACACUGCUGACGGAAAACUUGUCUGACUUAAUUCAUUGUGAGCCCAUGUAACAGAGUUAAGUACAUACCGUAAGCUCACUCCACAGCUAGCUUGAAAUGUCGCGGAUGGAGCCAUCCAAUCGGUACCUUUUGGGUGGCUCAAACCGUUGGAAUGUUGUCAAGGAGGGCGGCCACGUGUGUUUACAAAGCAGAGGUCCCGAGUUUGAGCCGGGUACGAGCCGAAUCAGGGGGAAGUGAUACCAGACACAAUUAAUUAACCGUUUAAUAGAUUUUCCCCACAGAAAAGUGUGGCGAGCGAGCGUAUAAAAACAUUAAGUGGAUAAGGAAUAACAGUACUUUACCACAUUGUCCUAUGCACCUGUGCGGGCUCUAGGUCUAGUGUGAGCUUCAAGAGUUAUAUUAUUCCAUGUGAAAACCUACACUAUUUUUCUGUUACAAUGUUGUUAUAACCAUGAGAAAUGAAACAGACUAAAGUAUAGCUUGUGACAGUUUCGUUAUUCCUGAUAAAAAAAAAACGUCUCUCUGAUACACACAACCGUUCAAAAGUUUAGGGU